rnacentral:rRNA from 1 species
GAUAAACGUUGGCGGCGUGCCUAAUGCAUGCAAGUCGCACGAGAAGCCACCUUCGGGUGGUGGACAGUGGCGGACGGGUGAGUAACACGUAGGAACCUGCCCAGAAGUGGGGGACAACUCCUCGAAAGAGGAGCUAAUACCGCAUACGGUCUUCGGACCAAAGCUUUCGAGCGCUUCUGGAGGGGCCUGCGGCGGAUUAGCUAGUUGGUGGGGUAACGGCCUACCAAGGCGACGAUCUGUAGCUGGUCUGAGAGGACGGUCAGCCACACUGGGACUGAGACACGGCCCAGACUCCUACGGGAGGCAGCAGCAAGGAAUUUUGCACAAUCGACGAAAGUCGGAUGCAGCAACGCCGCGUGGGGGAAGAAGGCCUUCGGGUCGUAAACCCCUUUUGCGAGGGAAGAAGAUCUGACGGUACCUCGCGAAUAAGUCACGGCUAACUACGUG